rnacentral:rRNA from 1 species
AGUGAACGCUGGCGGUAGGCCUAACACAUGCAAGUCGAACGGCAGCACAGUAAGAGCUUGCUCUUACGGGUGGCGAGUGGCGGACGGGUGAGGAAUACAUCGGAAUCUACUUUUUCGCGGGGGAUAACGUAGGGAAACUUACGCUAAUACCGCAUACGACCUACGGGUGAAAGCAGGGGAUCUUCGGACCUUGCGCGAUUGAAUGAGCCGAUGUCGGAUUAGCUAGUUGGCGGGGUAAAGGCCCACCAAGGCGACGAUCCGUAGCUGGUCUGAGAGGAUGAUCAGCCAGACUGGAACUGAGACACGGUCCAGACUCCUACGGGAGGCAGCAGUGGGGAAUAUUGGACGAUGGGCGCAAGCCUGAUCCAGCCAUACCGCGUGGGUGAAGAAGGCCUUCGGGUUGUAAAGCCCUUUUGUUGGGAAAGAAAAGCAGCAGGUUAAUACCCCGCUGUUCUGACGGUACCCAAAGAAUAAGCACCGGCUAACUUCGUG